AUGCACUUCCCCGCUGGCUCGCAGGCACCAAAAACCCAAAUGGCAGAACUGACUAACAUGCAAAGCCGCGACUGGAAUUCCCUCCCCGAUGUUCUCUUGGAGCAGAUCUGUAACUGUAUGGACCUACUCAGCACCGUUUGUCUGGCCGCAUGCUCAGUGUCUCUGUACCGUCUACUCGUCUGCAACCAGCCGGCUCUUUUCAAGACAACCUGCUUGCUAAUUCCCGAUCCUCGCAGGUGGCCCAGACAUCGACUUGACGAUCCUACGGAGGUUGCCGUGGUGCCCCUCGACAUGCUACCACUACCCGUCCACCUGUCCUUCAUGCGCGGCCACUACUGGGCGGGCAUGAAGGCCAACUGGAUUGUCCUCAUCCACCAAUCUGGUAGUCCGUGGCGUCUCGUGGAUAUCUACACCCAGCAAGAGAUCACCCUUCCAUCUUUGGAUACCGCCGCCAUCGAGCCUCGCGGCCCGCCGGACACUCCUGCCUAG
rnacentral:rRNA from 1 species